GAUGAACGCUGGCGGCGUGCCUAAUACAUGCAAGUCGAGCGAACGGACGAGAAGCUUGCUUCUCUGAUGUUAGCGGCGGACGGGUGAGUAACACGUGGAUAACCUACCUAUAAGACUGGGAUAACUUCGGGAAACCGGAGCUAAUACCGGAUAAUAUUUUGAACCGCAUGGUUCAAAAGUGAAAGACGGUCUUGCUGUCACUUAUAGAUGGAUCCGCGCUGCAUUAGCUAGUUGGUAAGGUAACGGCUUACCAAGGCAACGAUGCAUAGCCGACCUGAGAGGGUGAUGGGCCACACUGGAACUGAGACACGGUCCAGACUCCUACGGGAGGCAGCAGUAGGGAAUCUUCCGCAAUGGGCGAAAGCCUGACGGAGCAACGCCGCGUGAGUGAUGAAGGUCUUCGGAUCGUAAAACUCUGUUAUUAGGGAAGAACAUAUGUGUAAGUAACUGUGCACAUCUUGACGGUACCUAAUCAGAAAGCCACGGCUAACUACGUG
rnacentral:rRNA from 1 species